rnacentral:lncRNA from 1 species
GGGAAAAUCAAGACCAAUUAAAAUUUUAACUAGAUUAACAAUUAUUGUCUCGGAUCCAUCUCACUGCAAUGUUUUGAGAGCAACUUCUUCAAGGGCCCGGCUCUAUGAUGUUGUUGCAGUUUUUCCAAAGACAGAAAAGCUUUUUCAUAUUGCUUGCACACAUUUAGAUGUGGAUUUAGUCUGCAUAACUGUAACAGAGAAACUACCAUUUUACUUCAAAAGACCUCCUAUUAAUGUGUAGAGAUGGGGUUUUACCAUGUUGGCCAGGCUGGUCUCAAAUUCCUGACCUUGUGAUCCGCCCGCCUCAGCCUCGCCAAAUGCUGGGAUUACAGGCGUGAGCCACCACACCCGGCCUAGGGCGAUUGACCGAGGCCUGGCUUUUGAACUUGUCUAUAGCCCUGCUAUCAAAGACUCCACAAUGAGAAGGUAUACAAUUUCCAGUGCCCUCAAUUUGAUGCAAAUCUGCAAAGGAAAGAAUGUAAUUAUAUCUAGUGCUGCAGAAAGGCCUUUAGAAAUAAGAGGGCCAUAUGACGUGGCAAAUCUAGGCUUGCUGUUUGGGCUCUCUGAAAGUGACGCCAAGGCUGCGGUGUCCACCAACUGCCGAGCAGCGCUUCUCCAUGGAGAAACUAGAAAAACUGCUUUUGGAAUUAUCUCUACAGUGAAGAAACCUCGGCCAUCAGAAGGAGAUGAAGAUUGUCUUCCAGCUUCCAAGAAAGCCAAGUGGUCUCACUCUGUCACCCAGGCUGGAGUGCAGUGGCACAAUCUCGGCUCACUGCAACCUUUGCCUCUUGGGCUCAAGCCAUCCUCCCACCUCAGCCUCCCAAGUAAAAUUCAACAAAGACAACUUUUGAUCUCUCAUCAGAGAGAUCAUACUCCCAAGAACAGGCUUUGACCCUUCUUUAAAAGAGGAUUGUCCUGGGCUGAUGAGAGUCACUUUACCUGAAGAUACCUGGGAAGUUUUGUCUCCUCUGAGGUUGGCCCAUGGCCAGUGACUGAUGCAGGACAUUACAGCCUGGCCCACUGGCCUCGGUGGUACAAUUUAUGCUCCUGAGCACCCCAUGGGAUUACGCUGUGUGUGGAUUUCUCCUGAAACCACAUAUUUGCCUCUUCUGCCCUGUUCUGUUUUUUCUCAUUCCCUUAUAGAGGACUCUCAGUAAGUCACUUACACAAGAAUCCUAAUUUGAAAUGCUGCUUCCAGGAGACCUGACUUAGAAAAUUGGACAAAUAAAGUUGAUUUUUUUAAAUGUCCAGUAACAUGAAGAUGCUGAACUUUCCUAGUCAUUUAGGGGGAAAUCACCACAAAUAUAUCUGGCUGAUCAGGUUGAAAGUUAAAAGAAAAAAAGAUUUAUAAAGUGGGUAUUUUCAAGAUGGUGUGGAGGGAGAUACAAUUUGAUGCAAGUCUUAUACUUUUGAUGUCAAUUUAUUCUUCAGAAAUAACUGGUUAAUUAUAAAGGGUGGAUGGAUAAGGAUAUUCACUGCAACAAUGUCUUAAAUGUGAAAAUGGAAACAACCUAAAUACCCAAUAAUAACAGGAUUAAAUAAUUCAUUGUACAUUAAAAGAAUACUGUCUAUAAAGAUGUCUAGAAUAAGUUGUUCAGUUGAAGUUGUAAAGCUAAAUACACAAUACCCAUAAUGUGCACAGAAAUAAUCAGAAUGUCAUGAAACCAG